rnacentral:rRNA from 1 species
GUGAGGAAUAUUGCGCAAUGGAGGCAACUCUGACGCAGCCAUGCCGCGUGCAGGAAGAAGGCGCUACGCGUUGUAAACUGCUUUUAACCGGGAAGAAACCCCAGGACGUGUCCUGGGUUGAGGGUACCGGAGGAAUAAGCACCGGCUAACUUCGUGCCAGCAGCCGCGGUCAUACGAAGGGUGCAAGCGUUAUCCGGAUUCAUUGGGUUUAAAGGGUGCGUAGGCGGAGCGUUAAGUCAGUGGUGAAAUCCUGCAGCUUAACUGUAGACUUGCCAUUGAUACUGGCGCUCUUGAGUGCGCUUGAAGUGGGCGGAAUGUGCCGUGUAGCGGUGAAAUGCUUAGAUAUGGCACAGAACACCAAUUGCGAAGGCAGCUCACUAAGGCGAUACUGACGCUGAGGCACGAAAGCGUGGGGAUCGAACAGGAUUAGAUACCCCUGUAGUCC